rnacentral:rRNA from 1 species
UGGGGAAUAUUGCACAAUGGGCGAAAGCCUGAUGCAGCGACGCCGCGUGAGCGAAGAAGUAUUUCGGUAUGUAAAGCUCUAUCAGCAGGGAAGAUAAUGACGGUACCUGACUAAGAAGCACCGGCUAAAUACGUGCCAGCAGCCGCGGUAAUACGUAUGGUGCAAGCGUUAUCCGGAUUUACUGGGUGUAAAGGGAGCGCAGGCGGGAAGACAAGUUGGAAGUGAAAUCUAUGGGCUCAACCCAUAAACUGCUUUCAAAACUGUUUUUCUUGAGUAGUGCAGAGGUAGGCGGAAUUCCCGGUGUAGCGGUGGAAUGCGUAGAUAUCGGGAGGAACACCAGUGGCGAAGGCGGCCUACUGGGCACCAACUGACGCUGAGGCUCGAAAGUGUGGGUAGCAAACAGGAUUAGAUACCCUGGUAGUCCACACCGUAAACGAUGAUUACUAGGUGUUGGAGGAUUGACCCCUUCAGUGCCGCAGUUAACACAAUAAGUAAUCCACCUGGGGAGUACGACCGCAAGGUUGAAACUCAAAGGAAUUGACGGGGGCCCGCACAAGCAGUGGAGUAUGUGGUUUAAUUCGACGCAACGCGAAGAACCUUACCAAGUCUUGACAUCCUGCGACGAUGCUGGAAACAGUAUUUUCCUUCGGGACGCAGAGACAGGUGGUGCAUGGUUGUCGUCAGCUCGUGUCGUGAGAUGUUGGGUUAAGUCCCGCAACGAGCGCAACCCUUACUGUCAGUUACUACGCAAGAGGACUCUGGCAGGACUGCCGUUGACAAAACGGAGGAAGGUGGGGAUGACGUCAAAUCAUCAUGCCCUUUAUGACUUGGGCUACACACGUACUACAAUGGCGUUAAACAAAGAGAAGCAAGACCGCGAGGUGGAGCAAAACUCAGAAACAACGUCCCAGUUCGGACUGCAGGCUGCAACUCGCCUGCACGAAGUCGGAAUUGCUAGUAAUCGUGGAUCAGCAUGCCACGGUGAAUACGUUCCC